rnacentral:lncRNA from 1 species
GCCUUUCAUGAACAAACACACACAGAAAUUGGGGUGAGGGAGACUGCACACAAUGUGGCUGGUUGUGUUAUGGAUAAAGCCAAGGCUAAUGACCAGAAAUCUCCAGCAGUCUGUACAGAGAAAAGAGCAAGUGUUCUAGGCCAAAUUUUCCAUCAUCUAUGCUUGUUGAAGUUUUUAAUGUAAUAUUCACUCAAUUCCUUUUUAAUAUGCAAGAACUCACAGAAACCCACACAGCCUCCAUAGGAGAACUGGUAUUUAAGC